AACUUGUCAGAUUUAUGACCGUUUAUUGAAAUUAAAAAGUCGACUAACAUAUGCAUUUUAUUUAUGCAAGCCCUUUGAUUUUUCCCAUGGCUGUCUUUUUAUGUUGACAAACAGCAAAAGUCCCAUUACACCCAAAAAGAGUCAUUAAACAACAACUUUUUUUUAUUAUUAAGUUCAUGUUUUACAUGAUAAUUAUAUUUUCAUCUUGCAUAUAAAGUACCAACCCUAUUAUUUUCAACACUCUCUGAGUUUUCAUUUUAUUCUGUACUCAUAAUAAUUGUGUUGCAUACCAAUGCAUUUGCUUCAUUUUAUGGGAAUACAAACCAUUGUUUAGAAACCCAAAUACAUUUGGUGUAGGUAGUCUAACUGAAGAGAGUAUUUCUCACACGUUUUUGUUGUUAAGUUUUUAAAGCCGCAAUUAGAUAUAUUUAUUUAAGUAUUUGAAAAAUUAUGUAAGAUUCCUCAUACUUGUGUAUAUAAAAAAGAAGAUGUGGUAUGAUUGCCAAUGAGACAACUAUCCACAAAAGACCAAAAUGACACAAACAUUAACAACU
rnacentral:lncRNA from 1 species